rnacentral:rRNA from 1 species
GACGAACGCUGGCGGCGUGCUUAACACAUGCAAGUCGAACGGAAAGGCCCUGCUUUUGUGGGGUGCUCGAGUGGCGAACGGGUGAGUAACACGGGAGUAACCUGCCCUUGACUUUGGGAUAACUUCAGGAAACUGGGGCUAAUACCGGAUAGGAGCUCCUGCUGCAUGGUGGGGGUUGGAAAGUUUCGGCGGUUGGGGAUGGACGCGCGGCUUAUCAGCUUGUUGGUGGGGUAGUGGCUUACCAAGGCUUUGACGGGUAGCCGGCCUGAGAGGGUGACCGGCCACAUUGGGACUGAGAUACGGCCCAGACUCCUACGGGAGGCAGCAGUGGGGAAUAUUGCACAAUGGGCGGAAGCCUGAUGCAGCAACGCCGCGUGCGGGAUGACGGCCUUCGGGUUGUAAACCGCUUUCGCCUGAGACGAAGCGUGAGUGACGGUAAUGGGUAAAGAAGCACCGGCUAACUACGUG